rnacentral:rRNA from 1 species
AAAUUACCUUUAUUUUAUUAGAAAAGGACAAAAUCCUUAAAUUAUAAUUUUUAAUUGGAAUUUUAUUAAUUU